rnacentral:rRNA from 1 species
GAUGAACGCUGGCGGCGUGCUUAAGACAUGCAAGUCGAACGCAACUCUGGCAGCAAUGUUGGGUUGAGUGCGAAUGGGUGCGUAACACGUAGGUGACCUGCCCGGAAGUGGGGAAUAACAGUCCGAAAGGACUGCUAAUACCGCAUGCGACCGCGGGACGGAAGUUCCCGCGCUCAAAGGUCAAGCGUAAGCGCGAUCGCUUCCGGAGGGCCUGCGCCAUCAGCUCGUUGGUUGGUAACGGCCAACCAAGGCGACGACGGGUAGGGACCUCGAGAGGGU